GGGGAUUUAGCUCAGCGGAAGAGCGCUUGCCUAGCAAGCGCAAGGCCCUGGGUUCGAUCCCCAGCUCCG
rnacentral:tRNA from 1 species